rnacentral:rRNA from 1 species
UACGGGGGGGGCAAGCGUUGUUCGGAAUUACUGGGCGUAAAGGGCUCGUAGGCGGCCAACUAAGUCAUACGUGAAAUCCCUCGGCUUAACCGGGGAACUGCGUCUGAUACUGGAUGGCUUGAGUUCGGGAGAGGGAUGCGGAAUUCCAGGUGUAGCGGUGAAAUGCGUAGAUAUCUGGAGGAACACCUGUGGCGAAAGCGGCGCACUGGACCACAACUGACGCUGAGACGCGAAAGCGUGGGGAGCAAACAGG